rnacentral:lncRNA from 1 species
UGGCCACCGACAAAGGUGGUCCCUAAGGAGAUGUCAGCAGAAGCCUUUUUAUGGCUCUUCUCCAUUUCUAGUGGGAGGAUUGACCUGCUAUCAUCCGGUUGUGCACCCAGUAUAGAUCAUGUAUUUCCGGAUGGCAGAGCAGAGGUAUGUGAGGACUUAGCUUGGGGAGGAAGAGAAGCAUAAGGAAGUGAAACCGAUCUGUCUUUCUUUUGUGUCCUUUGUCUUUGUCAGAUGGCAGGAAAUAUCUCUGACUCAAAUGCAUGCAGCUUUCAGAAGCUUGAUUUAGAUCAACUCUGCCCCACAAUGAAACAAAAGAAUUAUACUGGUGUUUUUGAACCCAAGAAUGCUGUGUGUAAAGCAGGAAUGAAAACACAGCUGACAGACCAACAGAAUCCCAGAGCAGCUACCACACCAGAUGAGCUUCAAUAGUGCUGUUUCAGCAGGGUACCAUCCUGUUCCUCAACCUGGUCCUGUCUUUCCUUCCAAGGUGUCCUCUGGCUGUGCUGGCCUCUUUGAAGGCUCCUCUGCCAUAAUGGAAUCACUCCAUACACUUCUUGGACGGAGCACGGAGACGCAGAAAUUCAGCACUGAUAAAGAUCCCUCUGACUCUCAUUUCAUAAGUCUUCCAUUAGAUACAAAGCUGCACAGAUUAGAUAUGUCACUCCUCCCCUAUCCCUGGAACACAAAAGUCCUCGCAAAAUUGAGAAAAAAAAAAGAUUUAAUUUAAAUGCUAUUCAAGUGUGGGUGAACAAAAAGGGGAAGAAUGCUUUCCCUUUUUUUUCCCUAAAAGUCAAGUUUUUCUUUAGAAAUCAGCAAACACACACAAAAAAGGAAAGUCAUAGGUCACCCACAAUUAAAGUUUAGUUCUCGUCUUUUUUAAGAAUGUUUUGUUUUAAGAUUUUGUUCCAUUAUCUAAAAAACACUUUAUAAUAGCCCCUAAUCACAAAAAUGUUUAUGACUUUUUCUCUGUGUUUUGAGUUUUUUUUAAUUGUUUGUGAUUGAAAUAGUGUCACUUGCAUGUAUGUGCCCUCUUGCUUUGCGCUUCCUCCUUCCUGUCUCUUUGAAUUUGCUAAAAUCUACUUUGCUCCAGAUGUUUCUUCUGCUUUUUUCCCCCCAGCAUUUUCGUCUUUUUAAUAUUCAAUUUGAUCAAAGUUUUAGAAUCUAAAACCCAAACCUGUGUGUCUGCUGUCAUUGUAUACUGUGGUUAAAAAAAAAUAACAUUCAGUUUUAGAACAGCAUGUGACUGCAACGUCAUUGCAACAAGCACAUUGGUUAAGUUUGGAGCUGUAUUUAUAGUUUGACCCAAAAAAAUAAAACCUGGUAAAACAAAUUCCCUUACAGCAG